GGUGUCGGCAUCACUGGUGUCACCAUCGGUACUGGUGUCGGCAUCACCGGUAUCACAAUUGUCACUGGUGUCACUAUCACUGGUGUCACCAUCGGUACUGGUGUCGGCAUCACUGACGAUGGUGACCGGUGUCACCAUCACUGGUGUCGGCAUCACUGGUGUCACAAUUGUCACUGGUGUCGGCAUCACUGGUGUCACCACUGGUACUGGUGUCGGCAUCACUGGUGUCACCAUUGGUACUGGUGUCGGCAUCACCGGUGUCACAAUUGACACUGGUGUCAGUAUCACUGGUGUCACCAUCGGUCCUGGUGUCAGCAGCACCAGUGUCACAAUUGACACUGGUGUCAGUAUCACUGGAGUCACCAUCAGUACUGGUGUUGGCAUGACCGGUGUCACAAUUGUCACUGGUGUCAGCAUCAGCGGUGUCACAAUUGUCACUGGUGUCAGCAUCACUGGUGUCACCCCUGGUACUGGUGUCGGCAUCACUGGUGUCACCAUUGGUACUGGUGUCAGCAGCACCAGUGUCACACCAACACCAGUGUCAGCAUCUCCGGUGUCACACCGGUCCCGGUUCCAGUGUCACCAUCCUCCGAGGUGUCAGCCUCACCAGUGUCACCAUCCUCUGAGGUGUCAGCGUCACCAAUGUCCCCGGUGUCAGCCUCACCGGUGUCACACCAACCCCGGUGUCAGCGUCUCCGGUGUCACACCGGUCCCAGUGUCAGCUUCACCAGUGUCACACCAACACCAGUGUCAGUGUCUCCUGUGUCACACCGGUCCUGGUUCCAGUGUCACCAAUGUCCCCGGUGUCAGCAUCACCAGUGUCACCAUCGUCCGAGAUGUCAGCGUCACCAUCGUCCGAGGUGUCAGCCUCACCAGUGUCACACCGGUCCCGGUGUCAGCCUCACCAGUGUCACCAUCGUCCAAGGUGCCAGCCUCACCGGUGUCACCAUUGUCCGAGGUGUCAGCCUCACCGGUGUCACACCAACCCCGGUGUCAGCGUCUCCCAUGUCACACCGGUCCUGGUUCCAGUGUCACCAAUGUCCCCGGUGUCAGCCUCACCGGUGUCACCAUUGUCUGAGAUGUCAGCGUCACCAUCGUCCGAGGUGUCAGCCUCACCAGUGUCACACCGGUCCCGGUGUCAGCCUCACCAGUGUCACACCGGUGCCGGUGUCAGCCUCACCAGUGUCACCAUCGUCCAAGGUGCCAGCCUCACCGGUGUCACCAUUGUCCGAGGUGUCAGCCUCACCGGUGUCACACCAAGCCCGUGUGGUGGCAGCGUCUCUGGUGUCACCACCGGCUGCGGCGGUGGCCUCCCGGUUGUCCCCAGGAGGUGCUCACAGGCAGACGUUGAUCUGCUUGCCCAGCUCCCGCUCCAGGUCCAGGAUGAGGGCGUCGAAGUCCUUCAGGUUGAGGGGGGGCCCAAAGGCCGCCUCCCCCUCCUCCCCCAGCCCAAAAUCGGCCACCAAGAGGGUCCGCUGGCCCGGUGGCCGCCGCGGUGGCCCCCCAGCCUCGCCGGUGGCCCCCUGGGUGUCGUCGGUCGGGCCGGGGAGCAGGAGGAACUGGUGGUCGCAGACGCUCCAGUCGCCGGCGUAGCGGUUACUGGGGGGGCUCUCGGGCCCCCGGGGCCGGGGCCGGGCCACCACCGAGCUCUCCAGCAGGUCCAGGCGCAGCGGGGGGGCCCGGGGCUGCUGGGGGCAACUGGGACGGGCCCCCUCCCCGAACUGGGGGGCCAGGG
ensembl:lncRNA